UUGACCUCAAACCGGGUGAGACUACCCGCUGAACUUAAGCAAAACAAAAAGCGGAGGA
rnacentral:rRNA from 1 species